GCCAGUGUGGUGUAGUGGUUUGAGCAUUGGACUACUACACUGGAGACCAUGGUUUGAAUCCCUGCUCAGCCA